AUUGAACGCUGGCGGCAGGCCUAACACAUGCAAGUCGAGCGGAGCGGCGGACGGGUGAGUAAUGCCUAGGAAUCUGCCUGGUCGCGGGGGAUAACGUCGGGAAACGGGCGCUAAUACCGCAUACUAUCAGAUGAGCCUAGGUCGGAUUAGCUAGUUGGUGGGGUAAAGGCCUACCAAGGCGACGAUCCGUAACUGGUCUGAGAGGAUGAUCCGUCACACUGGAACUGAGACACGGUCCAGACUCCGACGGGAGGCAGCAGUGGGGAAUGUUGGACAAUGGGCGAAAGCCUGUUCCAGCCAUGCCGCGUGUGUGAAGAAGGCCUUCGGAUUGUAAAGCACUUUAAGUUGGGAGGCGGUACCAACAGAAUAAGCACCGGCUAACUUCGUGCCAGCAGCCGCGGUAAUAC
rnacentral:rRNA from 1 species